CUAUGAGGCUUGGGAACAAUGAGUGCCCUGCUUGCCGCACCCACUGUGCCAGUCGUCGUUCGCUGAGAGAUGACCCAAAUUAUGAUGCACUAAUAGCCGCUUUGUAUCCAGAUAUUGACAAAUAUGAGGAAGAGGAGUUGGCUUUUCAUGAGGAGGAGAAGGCUCGCAAUAAGCAGAUCCAAGCUUCCAUUGCCCAGACUUUUCGCCGACAAGCUGAAGCUCUUGGUAGGAAACGGACAACAUCUAAAGCCACAAUAGCUGCAUUUUCUAGGAGAACACCAGGCCGUCACAGAGAUGCCCACCCAAGAGGGAGGAGAAAUUAUCAAACAGCUGAUAUUCAAGGGUCUGAUGACAAUGAAGAUGCCAAUGGUGAUGGAUGCAAAGAUUCAUCAUCUGCUGAGGAGCACAGUGCAGAAGUUAAACCAAAAAGAUACAAGAGAUGGGGGGGUUCUCACUCAGCAGCUGCUUUUGCAGAUGCAGGUGGAGAUGAAAA
rnacentral:misc_RNA from 1 species